GGGUAAGAGUCCUGCGGAGGCCAUGCGAGCGGCGGAGAAGGCGGCCGAGAAGGCACAAGAGGACG
rnacentral:SRP_RNA from 12 species